AGUCAGUAGUAUGUGGUUUACAUAAAGUCGGUUGAACCUGAAUGUGUAUUUAUAAGAACUUGCCUUAGAAUUAAAUAUUCUCCUCAACUUUAGGAAGAUGUACCCUAAUGUUAUUAUUAUUAUUGUUAUAAAUGAAUGUAGAAUGUGGAGAACAAAUUAAUAUGUCUCAAAAGAUUUAAAAAUAUUUAUAAUUAUUAAUGUAGUAAUUCUACCUCAAGAAAUAUAUAUUAAGAAAGUUAUUAUCAAUCAUUGAUAAGCACAAAGUUUUGUGCUAAAAAUAUAUACACCAUAAUAUUAUGUAUAAUAGUGAAAAACUGAGAAGCAAUGUAUAAUAAUGUGAGGUAGUUUGUGUACUUUAUAGCUUAUACAGCAGAAUACCAUGAUUCAAUAAAAAUACUCUUUUACAUAGCAAAACAUAUUAUUAUUUAUAUAGCUUUAGAAAAUGACUGAAAGUACCUGUCUUAGUGUGUUCAGGCAGCUGUGACAAAAGUACCAUAAACUGGGUGACUUAUAAACAAUAGGAAUUUAUUUCUAACAGCUCUAGAGGCUGGCAAGGCCAAGAUCAAGCAGAUGUGGUGCCUGCUGAGUGCCUGUCUCUCGUAGACAGCCUUCUUCUCAUUCUAAGCUCACAUGGCAGAAGGGACAAAGGUGUUCUCUUUGGCCUAUUUUAUAAGGACAUUAAUCCCAUUCAUGGGCUCCACGUUCAUGACCUAAUCACCUCACAAAGACCCCACCUCCUAGUAUCAUCACUUCUUUGGGGUUAGAAUUUCAGCAGAUACAUUUUCAGGAGACACAAACAUGCACACCAUAGCAGAAUAAAAGUUUAUUAAUGAUUUUCUGUAGAAAAUUAGGGAGGUUUUAAUUUUCUUGUAAUGGUCUUCUAUAAUUUCUAUAUUUUCCAAAAUCAAUGAUAGUAGUAAAUAAAUAUUAUAAAAUGUUUCUUUGUUAAGUAUCAACUUUCAUAUUAAGGUGCUUUGGCACAAAGUCAUGUAAUGAUAAUUCAGUACUUUAAAUGUACAUAGCAAAGUUACAUUAAUUACAUUUUCAUAUUAGCAGACUUUGAGUCGGUUGUGAUUAAUUAUAAUAAGUGCCUAAGAACUAAUGUAUUCAUUUAGAAAAUGAAUUAUGCCAUGCAUUUCUCAUCACUAAAAGAGUUUAGAGUUUUGAAAGUGGCUGUAGGAGAGUUUUAUCAAAGAUGAAGGAAUAAGAUUUCUCUUAACUGCUCCAUCAACUCUUCCUCUUAGAAACCAUUUCAGCUCUCCAGAGGCCUACAAAGUCUUCUGUAUUAUGUGAUCUCUUGGGCUUUAGAUUGCUUCUAGAUUACUCUUUCAAUAAACUAAAACACUGCUUCUUGGAAUUACAAAUUUCAGAUGAAAACAACGUGAACAAGCUAAUUACCAAGAGCACUUUAAGCACACUGGUGGAUUUAAACAAUGUGAAUAAGUAAGAUUGUGAUUUGGCUUUGACAAAGGCAGAGUCAAGCUGGCUUUGUCAUGUAAAGGGCCUGAGACGGCCACAUGGUAUGUUUAAUUGAUGUAAGUACCAGAAAAUGGCAUAAAUGAGUACAGAAUUUAGUUUAAGGGCAUGAUAAACAUGGGAAGGAAAGAAAUGAAAAGAACUAAGAUGUGGGUGAAAAUAUUUGGAGGCGAUGAAUUGAUUACAGAUGAUUAUUGAAAGCUGUUGGCCAUAACACUCCCAGAGGCCUCAUUGUACGGGUUCAAGAAACUGUCAUAAGAGAAUUCUGAAAGCCAAGGUAAGCAGUAAGUAUCCAUUAGGUAGUUUCCAUUCUUUCUCUUCCUGAAAACGUUUAUCAUCUCCAGUGUGAUUUGCACAUAUUGAUUAAUUAAUCUCUAAGUGACUAAUUUUUCAUUAUUUGACAGAUAAUUAGAUCUUUCAUAAAUCUGUGUAAUAAAAGCAUGCAGGAAGCAUUGUGAGCCAGUUUAAUAAUUGGCAUUAGUUUUCAAGAAGAAUGUGUUCCAGCUCAGUUGUUUCCUUAUUAGAAAUCAUCCUGUCAGGAAACACUUUAUAGAUAAAGUAAAUGAUCUUGUCUUCUGGAAAAUAUGACAAUGAUUUUUAACACUUGCCAUUUCACAAGAACCUAAGGCUCCUAUGCUCCAAUUACCCCAGUCUCUAUUAAUUCAAAAAAAAUGGGUGUGUCUGAAUUUUAGUGAUGUUAAAAAUAUGAAAACCAUGGGUCAUCUUUCCUUUGAUUCUAAAAGUGAAGAUGCAUAGGGAGGUAGAGGACCUGAUUAUAACAACCAAAGAAUUGGAGAAUAUUUGUUUUGGAAAGGAAUUGAAAGAAGGAUGAGCUCAUAUCCUUUAAUUUACAGAGUAAAAACCUGAAUCUCAUAAAGGUUAAAUGAUAAAUCCAAAGAUACAAAACUGAUGGGAGAGAUUUGAUUACACUAUGGUGCCCCACAGUUACCCACUAGGAACUCACCAGCUCCAAAUUUCACCUCCCUUUAGAAGAAAACUCCAUUUCUUUUUGUAAAAUAUCUUGACAGAUUCUCUCUGAAAUUGUGUACACCACAGACAAUGAUCAAGAGAAGUGAUGGACUUUUACAAUCCCAUUAUUCACUUUAUAUCUUUUCCAAUUUUCUGAAUUUACUGAUCCAAAUCCUAAGUCAGUGGUUCCAAACUGAGAAGCCAUUAAUGUAGAAGUGAGAAGCCAAUAGAAAAUCUUUGAACUAUUUAACAAUCUAAGAGAACUCAUACAUUUUACUAACAGUAUAAAUUAUCACGGAACUUCUGAUUUUCGAAGAGACUAUUAUUAAAGGAGAUUAUAUUAAGUUUUUAAUAGUUUGGUACCUCCAUUUUCUAUUAUGAGUUAAAUAAUCUUUAUGAAAUAUGUAUUAUUGUAUUUUUGUGUAUUUUAUAUUUUAAGGAAAAUGUACUGUGAAACUUUGUAAGUAUAUAAUGUUAAAGUAAACUUUAUUAAUUUUCCUUGGCUUCUUAUAAAAUGUAAGCCUUGAUUCACCCACACUUUUUGGUAUUCUAUGUUGAAAGGAAAAUUUUACUAUACUUAAGUGCUGUUCCAAGGUUAAAUACUCAUACAUAUAUUUAAUGUUCCAAUUCUAGAAAUCAAACUUAAGAAGUAACACUUUUGGUGGAACCACAAACGGAAAAGAGUCUUGGGUCCUGAAUCAUGGUUUGGAGAAGACCUUUAUGCCUAUUAGGAGCCAAAAGCCUAAAACUCUAAACUUAAAACACAAGCAAUAGAAUGUUGAUUCUGUCCUGUCUGCAGUAUACAGGAUUAGCUUUUUCUGUUAAGAUAAAACUAGGAAAUAAAGUUGUGUGUGGAAGCAAUAAAAAUCUGAACUAUUCCUACAUGUAAUUCUAGAAAUUUAUAGGUGCUACAUUUUUUGAAAAUUUUAAUGACAUAUAUAAGAAGGAAAAUCAAAUUAAAAAUUCAAGUUGAUGUUAUCUUUAAAAAAAAGUAAUAGUUCAUCCUGUUCAUUCAUAAUCUAAAUUAGGUAAAAACCAGUGAUAAAAUAUUGUGUGUUAUUUUAAAAUAUAUGUAUAUCUACACAAACGAUAUUAUAUAUACAAAUACUCGUACUCAUGUACACACCCUAUCAUUAAUAAAGCAUCAUUGUUUAAUUUUAGGAAAAAAAUAACUACAAUUGGGAAUAAAAUUGAUUGCCCUAUUACAUCCAAAA